AACGAACGCUGGCGGCAGGCCUAACACAUGCAAGUCGAGCGCUCUCUUCGGAGGGAGCGGCGACGGGUUAGUAACGCGUGGGAAUGUACCCUUCUCUAAGGAAUAGCCAUUGGAAACGAUGAGUAAUACCUUAUACGCCCCCCGGGUCAAACUGGGGGGGAAAGAUUUAUCGGAGAGGGAUCAGCCCGCGUAAGAUUAGAUAGUUGGUGGGGUAAUGGCCUACCAAGUCUACGAUCUUUAGCUGGUUUUAGAGGAUGAUCAGCAACACUGGGACUGAGACACGGCCCAGACUCCUACGGGAGGCAGCAGUGGGGAAUCUUGGACAAUGGGCGCAAGCCUGAUCCAGCCAUGCCGCGUGAGUGAUGAAGGCCUUAGGGUCGUAAAGCUCUUUCGCCAGAGAUGAUAAUGACAGUAUCUGGUAAAGAAGUCCCGGCUAACUCCGUG
rnacentral:rRNA from 1 species